CAGGCAAGCAGGCAGACAGGUAGACAGACUGUUUCCUCCUUUCUUUCAGGUCCAAUGUGAGCCACUCAUCAGGGAGCCAAGAAUCCUCCUCAAGACCUCUGCUGUGGAAUAUGAAGACAGUGUGAAAAAACUGCUCUCUUAGGAUGAACUCCAGAGAUAAAGUCUAAUCCUGCUACCCUUUCUACUGGUGAAAAUCAUCCUUGAUUGUAACAUCUUCAUUGGAGAAACCCAUAUACUAUGAUGAAGAGUGACUCCUCAAGACA